CCGUACCCACGGGGAGUUAGCGGCACCUUGUAACCUGCAAUCCGCUAUAGCAGGGUGUUUGCUCAGGCUGAGGCUUUUUUUAUUUUGGUCAGCCCGAUGUAAGUGGUGUUGACAAAUGGGUCUUACGCAACAGAAAUCCAUGAACCUCGUCAGGUCCGGGAGGAAGCAGCGAUAAGUGGACACUUUUGUGUGCCGUAAGGUUGCCUGUUUCGAGUUAACUGCAUCGGUAACGCAAGGGAAAAACAAGUCGAAGCUUGAGUGUACGG
rfam:Peptostreptococcaceae bacterium oral taxon 113 str. W5053 genomic scaffold Scaffold88, whole genome shotgun sequence.